rnacentral:rRNA from 1 species
AGCGAACGCUGGCGGCGUGCCUAAUACAUGCAAGUCGAACGGAGUGGCGCACGGGUGAGUAAUGUAUAGCUAAUCCGCCUUACACUCGAGGACAACAGUUGGAAACGGCCGCUUAUACUUUAUAGGGUAGGUUGAGGCUAUAUUGUAUCAGCUAGUUGGUGAGGUAAUGGCUCACCAAGGCUAUGACGGCUAACUUGUCUGAGAGGAUGAUCAGUCACCCUGGAAGUGAGACGCGGUCCGGACUCCUACGGGAGGGAGCAGUGGGGAAUUAUGCUCAGUGGGGGGAACCCUGAAGCAGCAACGCCGCGUAGGGGAUGACACUUUUCAGAACGUAAACUCCUUUUGUUAGGGAAGCGGUACCUAACUAGUAAGCACCGGCUAACUCCGUGCCAGCAGCCGCGGUAAUAC